rnacentral:rRNA from 1 species
UACAGAGGUCUCAAGCGUUGUUCGGAUUCAUUGGGCGUAAAGGGUGCGUAGGCGGCGCGGUGAGUCGGAUGUGAAAUCUCGGAGCUUAACUCCGAAACUGCAUUCGAUACUGCCGUGCUUGAGGACUGGAGAGGAGACUGGAAUUUACGGUGUAGCGGUGAAAUGCGUAGAUAUCGUAAGGAAGACCAGUGGCGAAGGCGGGUCUCUGGACAGUUCCUGACGUGAGGCACGAAGGCCAGGGGAGCAAACGGG